rnacentral:rRNA from 1 species
AGAGUUUGAUCAUGGCUCAGAUUGAACGCUGGCGGCAUGCCUUACACAUGCAAGUCGAACGGUAACGGGCCUCGGGUGCCGACGAGUGGCGAACGGGUGAGUAAUGCAUCGGAACGUACCUUUCAGUGGGGGAUAACGUAGCGAAAGUUACGCUAAUACCGCAUAUUCUGUGAGCAGGAAAGCAGGGGAUCGCAAGACCUUGCGCUGAUUGAGCGGCCGAUGUCAGAUUAGCUAGUUGGUGAGGUAAAGGCUCACCAAGGCGACGAUCUGUAGCGGGUCUGAGAGGAUGAUCCGCCACACUGGAACUGAGACACGGUCCAGACUCCUACGGGAGGCAGCAGUGGGGAAUUUUGGACAAUGGGGGCAACCCUGAUCCAGCCAUGCCGCGUGAGUGAAGAAGGCCUUCGGGUUGUAAAGCUCUUUCGGCCGGGAAGAAAUCGCAUGGGUUAAUACCCUGUGCGGAUGACGGUACCGGCAUAAGAAGCACCGGCUAACUACGUG